AGUGAACGCUGGCGGUAGGCCUAACACAUGCAAGUCGAACGGCAGCACAGUAAGAGCUUGCUCUUACGGGUGGCGAGUGGCGGACGGGUGAGGAAUACAUCGGAAUCUACUUUUUCGUGGGGGAUAACGUAGGGAAACUUACGCUAAUACCGCAUACGACCUACGGGUGAAAGCAGGGGAUCUUCGGACCUUGCGCGAUUGAAUGAGCCGAUGUCGGAUUAGCUAGUUGGCGGGGUAAAGGCCCACCAAGGCGACGAUCCGUAGCUGGUCUGAGAGGAUGAUCAGCCACAGGGGAGAGGGGACGCGGCCCGACCCCCUCCGGGGGCAGGCGGGGGGGAUUGUUGAAGAAGGGCGCAAGGCCGUCCCGAGCAGACCGGGGGGGGGAAAGAAGGCGUUGGGGUUGAAAGGCCCUUUUGUGGGAAAAAAAAAGCAGGGGGUUAAUCCCCCCGUGUUCUGAGGGUCCCAAAAAAAAAAGCACCGGCCAAUUUCGUC
rnacentral:rRNA from 1 species